GCCCCUGUGGCGUAAUGGUAACGCGUUGGACUUCUAUUGCGAUCCAAAGACUGCGGGUUCGAGCCCCGCCGGGGGUG
rnacentral:tRNA from 1 species